GGGCCCAUAGCUCAGUUGGUAGAGCAGCGGACUCAUAAUCCGUAGGUCCGAGGUUCGAGUCCUCGUGGGCCCA
rnacentral:tRNA from 1 species